rnacentral:rRNA from 1 species
UACCAGCUCCCCGAAUGGUCGAGACGAUUAUUGGGCCUAAAGCAUCCGUAGCCGGCCCUGUGGAUGAUCCGUCAAAUCCAACGACUCAAUCGUUGAACUGCGGAUUAUAUCGCAAGGCUAGGAGGCGGGAGAGGUGAGGAGUACUCAACGGGUAGGGGUAAAAUCCGCUGAUCCGUUGAAGACUAACAGUGGCGAAGGCGCCUUGCCAGAACGCGCUCGACGGUGAGGGAUGAAAGCUAGGGGAGCAAACCGG